CUCAUUUUCAGUUUAAGUAACUGCUGUUACUUAAGUGAUUGCACUUUUCUCAAAUUGAAGUUUAAUGGAAUAAUAGUUCUCAGGAUAGUAUUUUGUAAAUAAAGAUGGUUUGAAUAUGAAUCUUAUGAGUAAAUCAUUUCCAUUUUAUUAUAUUCUAGAUCAUAUAACUUUUAACUUGGUGAACUAAUCCACUCUUAGAGAAACAAUAGUGGGAGUUUUAUAUAUGUAAUCUUGCAGGUGAGGAGGCUUUAAAUUCUAAAGGUUGUGGUGUCUUCAUGCCAAG
rnacentral:lncRNA from 1 species